rnacentral:rRNA from 1 species
UACGAAGGGGGCUAGCGUUGCUCGGAAUCACUGGGCGUAAAGGGUGCGUAGGCGGGUCUUUAAGUCAGGGGUGAAAUCCUGGAGCUCAACUCCAGAACUGCCUUUGAUACUGAGGAUCUUGAGUUCGGGAGAGGUGAGUGGAACUGCGAGUGUAGAGGUGAAAUUCGUAGAUAUUCGCAAGAACACCCGUGGCGAAGGCGGCUCUCUGGAACGCAACUGACGCUGAGACGCGAAAGCGUGGGGAGCAAACAGG